rnacentral:rRNA from 1 species
UGGGGAAUUUUGGGCAAUGGGCGAAAGCCUGACCCAGCAACGCCGCGUGAGGGAGGAAAUCCUUCGGGAUGUAAACCUCGCAAGCAAGGGAAGACAGCUAGAGAUUUAAUAAAUUUCUAGUCCGACGGUACCUUGCGUAAGCCACGGCUAACUACGUGCCAGCAGCCGCGGUAAUACGUAGGUGGCAAGCGUUGUUCGGAAUUAUUGGGCGUAAAGGGCGCGUAGGCGGUUUGUUAAGUUGGGGGUGAAAUCCCGAGGCUCAACCUCGGAACUGCCUUCAAAACUGGCGACCUGGACCCAAGUAGAGGCAAGUGGAAUUGCGAGUGUAGAGGUGAAAUUCGUAGAUAUUCGCAGGAACACCAGUGGCGAAGGCGACUUGCUGGACUUGUGGUGACGCUGAGACGCGAAAGCGUGGGGAGCAAACAGGAUUAGAUACCCCCGUAGUCCCUGAGCGGGCUGGCAAGGCGCAU